rnacentral:rRNA from 1 species
AACCAGCACCUCAAGUGGUCAGGAUGAUUAUUGGGCCUAAAGCAUCCGUAGCCUGCUCUGUCAGUCUUCGGUUAAAUCCAUCAACUCAAGGUAUGGGCUGCCGAAGAUACUGCAGAGAUAGGGAGUGGGAGAGGUAGACGGUACUCGGUAGGAAGGGGUAAAAUCCUUUGAUCUAUCGAUGACCACCUGUGGCGAAGGCGGUCUACCAGAACACGUUCGACGGUGAGGGAUGAAAGCUGGGGGAGCAAACCGG